rnacentral:lncRNA from 1 species
CAGAGUCAUUUAUUUCUUUUGAGUGAAUUUCUACCAGCAGCAUCAUGUGACUUCUAUAAAUUUACUAAUUAUUUUUCAAAUACUAUGCACAUAGGACAUUUGUGAAUAGCCCCAAGGAUUAAAAUCACCUAUUCAUAUUUUCAGCAUCAAAUGAAGGGAUUCAUAAUGAAAAGCUGUCAUUUUUUUAGAGUACACUAUAUUAUUUCAUUCACUCAAACCUCCCUUACAGACCUUGAAGACUGAUGAUGUCAAUAUUACUAGGAUUAUUGCAAGAUUGCUAAGUACAGAUGCUGGAGAUUUGGUUUUUAGUUUACAAACAAUGCUGUUGUGAACAUUCUUCUACAUGCUUCCUUGUAUACAUGGUGAAGAGUUCCUCGGAGGAACAUGCCUAGAAAUUGAAUUACUGGGUCAGAGAGUUCAAAUUUACUAGGUUAAAACAGAGAGCCCAGGAAACAGAUCUACACAUAUGGAAACCUGACUUAUGACACACCAGGUAUGUUGUCACAUGCCAGUAGUCCCAGCUACUCAUGAGGCUGAAGUAGGAGGAUCACUUCAGCCUGGAAGGCAGAGGCUUCAGUGAACCAUGAUUGCACCACUGUGCUCCAGCCUGGGAAACAGAGUA